ensembl:lncRNA
UGACCCACCAAGCCGCGCUUCUUAACAUCCCCCCCGCUUAACCCGGAAGCCAGCCACACCAAUGUGUCAGAGGAAACACCGUCCAACUGACUACGGAAGUCAGCCUGCAGGCGCCCGGCCCACCACAAGGAGUCGCUAGAGCGCGAUGAGCCAAGUAAAGCCCCCCCGGCCAAACACUCCCCUAACCCGGAUAACGCUGGACCAAACACUCCCCUAACCCGGAUAACGCUGGACCAAACCCUCCCCAAACCCCGGACGACACUGGGCCAAACCCUCCCCUAACCCGGACGACGUUGGACCAAUUGUGCGCCACCUUAUGAGACUCCCGGUCAGGACCGGUUGUGAGGCCUAAACUGUACCUUUCAAUGAAAGCUCUGGAAAGAUUUCUCUCUCUGGGGUGAGAAACAAAAAAUCACUGCAGUUCACGUAUCCCUUAGGAGACAGACAAUUCUGAGAACUGGCAGUUCCCUUGUAAUAUUGGUGUUUGAGCAAGAGAAACCAGGUUUUCCCUCAUCCCUGACACUUGCCCAGGAUACUGUCAUUACGUACUGAGAGACAGACCGUUUUUCUAACUGGAAUGCAGAAAAGGGAAUAUGAAGAGACAUGAUUUACAUACACAGAGGUAUUAUAAGAACACUGAGAUGGGUGACGAAACGAGCCAUUACCCGGCAGCAACGGGAUCGGUUGCAUGCUUCGUGGGGCAGAUGUGAUGUAGAGCUCCCACACCAACCAAGAACAUAGAGAUUAUGACGGCUGGUUGAUAUGCCUGGAUAACCUUUUCUACUGACCAUUCUCCUCUGCAAUAAUACUCUAAGAAUACCCUGAUGAUUCUAUUCUAUGCUAUUCUGUCAUCAACUAGUUAUGUAUGUCUUUAAUUCCAAACUGGAAGCCUCCAACUCUGUAUGUCCCUUAGCCAAUGGGUAAGAGCUGUAUAUGUCUGAAAACAAUGGCUUAUAGGCAGAUCAUAUAGAGAUCAUACAUAAUAAUCUUCAUAUCUUGACUGUAUUUUCUGGGUUUAUGGCAGCUCUUAAAGGUAUCAUGGUAGGAGAGAAGAGAAUACACACCAUAAACUAAACGAGCAGCUCAUAAAAUCAUACAGUACAUUUCCUGUCAGAUGGCAUUUGGUUGUUUGGAGAGAUCUGGGAAAUCUCUUUACCCCUCCCGAUCCAACCUCUACUUAGAAGCAAUAACAUUAUAUAAUAGCCCCAUCUGGUCCACAGAUUGAUUUAAAAUACUCAUUGUGUGUCAUGUUAUAUUCCUUUGCAAAUGAUGGGUACAGUAAAUAUUAAACAGGCUACACAUACAAAUGGGUUUUCCCAAGGCCGAUCUCACUCAUCUGGAUAUGCAGACUACAGAUGGGUAACUACUAAAUUAUGAGCGGUUUCACCUUGAGGUGUAUGAGAGUGAAGCAGAUUAGUGUGUUGUGUGAGUUCACCCAGUAUUAAGGUGCAUUCACGUGGAUGGCUAGUCAUUCAGAGGUUAUGAACGGUGCAGUUGCCAUCCUGCCAGCUCAUUUACUCACUGAAACAAUGGUAGUUUACAUACACAUGAUUAUGUACAGUUCCUAAUGCUCUCUGGCAAUGAGUGUUGUGUCCAUGUCUUCAGUGCUAUGUGUGAGUUGCUGAGACAGCAGGGGCUGUGAUGCUUUGAGGACAUCUAGUGGUAUUGCAGUGAUAGUGGCAAAUU